CCCUUAGAUGUACUGGGCCGCACGCGUGCUACACUGAGUAAUUCAAUGGGUAAGGGAACGCUAGAGCAUUACCUAAUCUUGAAAUUUGCUCGUGAUGGGGAUCGACGGUUGCAAUUUUCCGUCGUGAACGAGGAAUACCUUGUAGGCGCAUGUCAUCAUCAUGCGCCGAAUACGUCCCUGCCCUUUGUACACACCGCCCGUCGCUCCUACCGAUUGAGUGAUCCGGUGAGGCUCUGGGACCUGGACGGAAAGAGCGUUUCGCUUGUUCUGUUUGGGAAACUUGGUCGAACCUUAUCAUUUAGAGGAAGGAGAAGUCGUAACA
rnacentral:rRNA from 1 species